UCCCAAUGCCUACAAAAACCCCAAUACAACAACACAAUAACCCCAUGUCACACCCUGGCCUGACCAAAUAAUAAAGAAAACACAAAAUACUAAGACCAAGGCGUGACAAUAUGUAUAUACUGUAUUUUAUACCAUAUAUUGCAUCUUGCCUAUGCCGCUCGGUCAUCACUCAUCCAUAUACUGACAUGUACAUAUUCUCAUUCACCCCUUUAGAUUUGUGUGUAUUAGGUAGUAGUUGUGGAAUUGUUAGAUUACUUGUUACAUAUUACUGCACUGUCGGAACUAGAAGCACAAGCAUUUCGCUACACUCGCAUUAACAUCUGCUAACCAUGUGUAUUUGACCAAUGACACCGGAUUUUUCAUAAAUGUGCUCGCUUUGAUCUAAAACACCGCUCAUGCCUGUCAAACGCGCUCAACACAUCGCAUCUGGAGGACUCUUUGAUCUAAUACCGGAGUAGCCUAAUGGUGAAGGUGCAUGAAGAUAUGACGUCAUCGUUUUGAGCCCUACCCGGAGUAGCCUAAUGGUGAAGGUGCAUGAAGAUAUGACGUCAUCGUUUUGAGCGCUACCCGGAGUAGCCUAAUGGUGAAGGUGCAUGAAGAUAUGACGUCAUCGUUUUGAGCCCUACCCGGAGUAGCCUAAUGGUGAAGGUGCAUGAAGAUAUGACGUCAUCGUUUUGAGCCCUACCCGGAGUAGCCUAAUGGUGAAGGUGCAUGAAGAUAUGACGUCAUCGUUUUGAGCGCUACCCGGAGUAGCCUAAUGGUGAAGGUGCAUGAAGAUAUGACGUCAUCGUUUUGAGCCCUACCCGGAGUAGCCUAAUGGUGAAGGUGCAUGAAGAUAUGACGUCAUCGUUUUGAGCCCUACCCGGAGUAGCCUAAUGGUGAAGGUGCAUGAAGAUAUGACGUCAUCGUUUUGAGCCCUACCCGGA